GAUGGUCUGAAAUUUCCUGGGACUCUCCUUUCCCUCUUCCCCUCUCGUGUUGGCCAUCAACCUUUCCAGGCCCAGAAGAUUCUGUGUUGGAAUGUUCUAAGUCUGUCUCAUCUGGCUUCCCAACUUCCUAUUUCUUCUGCUCCGGCCGCCCGGCGCCCCUCACCCAAGGAUUAAUCAGUGCUGUCGUCUGCGGUCUUAUCACUCGCUGCUCAGAGCUCAGCAGGAGCUCCUCCUUGCCUCUCAAGUGAUGUCCAGGCUCCUUCUGUGACCUCUGAGAGGCUCUCUGAGGUCAGCCUCACCCAGCCACAUUUCCAGCCUCGGCUCUGAUGACACUCCUGCGCUUCAACCAGACAUGUCUGUCACUUACUGUUUCUGCCCCAACCCCACGUAGCUUCCAGACUCCUGUUCCACUCAAGCUGUUCCUUCUACCAGGGAUGUUCUUACCUCACCAAAUGAGAUGAUGUUUGUCAACGAACUUUGAUGUCAGAUGGCCAACAUAAAAAGAAGAAAAAAACAACAGGAAAUAAGGGGUUGGAGAGAAUGUGGAUACCUUGAAACCCUUGUGCUCUGCUGGUAGUAACGUAAAAUUGUGCAACUGCUGUGGGAAA